GACGAACGCUGGCGGCGUGCUUAACACAUGCAAGUCGAACGGAAAGGCCCUGCUUUUGUGGGGUGCUCGAGUGGCGAACGGGUGGGUAACACGUGAGUAACCUGCCCUUGACUUUGGGAUAACUUCAGGAAACUGGGGCUAAUACCGGAUAGGAGCUCCUGCUGCAUGGUGGGGGUUGGAAAGUUUCGGCGGUUGGGGAUGGACUCGCGGCUUAUCAGCUUGUUGGUGGGGUAGUGGCUUACCAAGGCUUUGACGGGUAGCCGGCCUGAGAGGGUGACCGGCCACAUUGGGACUGAGAUACGGCCCAGACUCCUACGGGAGGCAGCAGUGGGGAAUAUUGCACAAUGGGCGGAAGCCUGAUGCAGCAACGCCGCGUGCGGGAUGACGGCCUUCGGGUUGUAAACCGCUUUCGCCUGUGACGAAGCGUCAGUGACGGUAAUGGGUAAAGAAGCACCGGCUAACUACGUG
rnacentral:rRNA from 1 species